CUUCCACACUGGAGGGAAGGGAGACCCCGGGAUAUGGAGGGAAAACAGGCCGCCGAUAACAGGGAUGAGUUCCCUCAAGUGCUACACCCCUGCCCAGCGUUGGAAUAUACCGCAGGAGGGCAGAGGGAGAUAGAACAAAAAUACCGCUCU